GGUUCUUACUGCUAUCAAAAUUACUGAAAUGAUUACUUGAAGAGAGUAUGUACUAAAGUCUGCUUCUACAGUUGCUCUUAACUGCUUUUGUGGAUUGAAUUAGUGUCUUUCAACAUUUUUUGGAGACAAGAGUCUAGGAAAUACUUUUUUUUUCCUUUCAGCUAGCACAUGAGAAGAAACAGAAGUUGAUUGACAUUAAAAGGAAAAGACUCUCACUAAAAAAAGACCAAAGAAGAAAACUACAGCAAAUUCAGACUAUGAAGAAAAAACAAAAGAAGGAAAAAGGAAAUAAGAACCUGGAUGAAGCAAAGAUGCUUCAGAACUUAGAAAAAGAAAGAUUGAUGACUACAGUAAUUCAAAAUGUGUUUCAGAAUAUCAUAAUUGGAAGCGGAGUUAACUGGGCAGAAGAUCCGUCUUUAAAGGCAAUUGUUCUACAGCUUGAAAAAAAUGUCCAUCUUCCAUGAGUCAGGAGAAAUGGUAUUUAAUUUUAUUUGCAUUGUAAUAUAUUAAUUAAUAUUAAUUAAUUAAUAUAUUUUAAUUUUUAACACACAUCAAUAAUUUUUCAGUUUAACCUUUCAGAAAGUUGUUUUUCUCUCUAGAGACUCAGAAUGUGUCCACGCAACUCUGUGAAGUGAAAUUAAAUUUCUGACACACAACAGAUGUUUGAAUGGGUAAUGCAACUGAUGAAAUGAAACUACCUGAAGACCCGCUUCAUAGCUGUCCUGUCCGAAAACUUCAUCUCUCUCUGAAAGACAGCAAUAAUGCAAGAAAGAUGAAUAAUCUAUGUAUUUCAAGUAAAAGUGGACUUAAACCAAGGCUUUCCUGGGGAUGAGUGGGCUGCAGAGCUCGGGCAUGGUACUUGACUCUGCUCUGUCCCAGUGGAAAACCCAAGAUGGAAAUACUUUUUAGCAAGCUUCUACAACUGGGAUUUUUUUGCUAUUAAAGCACUUCGUAUAAUUUGAAACAGCAGAAUUUUUAUACUCUUAGUUCUUCUAACAGCCACUUGUGUCUGAAGUGGUGACUUCAUGCUAUCGACCGUGCAGCUAAGCAGUGUUUUAUCUACAUAUUUUCACCAGCAUUUGCUUUCUUUUUUUGUUUAUAUGAUGUUCAAAUGAAAUUGAAGCUUAGGGUGUAUAGCAUGUUUCGAGACAUGUACUGUCUCUUUUUUUAUCUUAGGCUAUAUUGUCAUUUUUAACUUGGUGAUUAACUAGGAAUUUUUUUAGGUGGGCUUUGAUCGGAUAAUAAGAAUAAAACGCUG
rnacentral:lncRNA from 1 species